AGCGAACGCUGGCGGCAGGCUUAACACAUGCAAGUCGAGCGGACCUUUCGGGGUCAGCGGCGGACGGGUGAGUAACGCGUGGGAACGUGCCUUCCGGUUCGGAAUAACCCUGGGAAACUAGGGCUAAUACCGGAUACGCCCUUAUGGGGAAAGGUUUACUGCCGGAAGAUCGGCCCGCGUCUGAUUAGCUAGUUGGUGGGGUAACGGCCUACCAAGGCGACGAUCAGUAGCUGGUCUGAGAGGAUGAUCAGCCACACUGGGACUGAGACACGGCCCAGACUCCUACGGGAGGCAGCAGUGGGGAAUAUUGGACAAUGGGCGCAAGCCUGAUCCAGCAAUGCCGCGUGAGUGAUGAAGGCCUUAGGGUUGUAAAGCUCUUUUAUCCGGGACGAUAAUGACGGUACCGGAGGAAUAAGCCCCGGCUAACUUCGUG
rnacentral:rRNA from 1 species